rnacentral:rRNA from 1 species
CCUACGGGUGGCAGCAGUGAGGAAUAUUGGUCAAUGGGCGCGAGCCUGAACCAGCCAAGUAGCGUGAAGGAUGACUGCCCUAUGGGUUGUAAACUUCUUUUAUAUGGGAAUAAAAUGUUCCACGUGUGGGAUUUUGUAUGUACCAUAUGAAUAAGGAUCGGCUAACUCCGUGCCAGCAGCCGCGGUAAUACGGAGGAUCCGAGCGUUAUCCGGAUUUAUUGGGUUUAAAGGGAGCGUAGGUGGAUUUUUAAGUCAGCGGUAAAAUGUCCGGGCUCAACCCGGGCCGGCCGUUGAAACUGGGGAUCUUGAGUGGGCGAGAAGUAUGCGGAAUGCGUGGUGUAGCGGUGAAAUGCAUAGAUAUCACGCAGAACUCCGAUUGCGAAGGCAGCAUACCGGCGCCCGACUGACGCUGAGGCACGAAAGCGUGGGGAUCGAACAGGAUUAGAUACCCCAGUAGUC